AUCCGAGCCGCAUCUUCGACCUACACCGCAGCUCACAGCAACGCCAGAUCCUUAACCCACUGAGCAAGGCCAGGAAUCGAACCCACAACCUCAUGGUUCCUAGUCAGAUUCGUUAACCACUGCACCAUGACGGGAGCUCCCCAAUUAAAUUCUGAAGGUUGACAUUUCAGGCACACUCCUCAUUUCACCUCGCAAGUGACCUUCAAGAUGCCAUUGAGCUGUCUGACUGUCCCACAGUUCACACAGCCCACUUCUUCCCCCAGUUCCUCAUCAGACGGGGCAAAGCAGACUGGAGUAUUCUUUGGAAGUAUUCUUUGGAACUAUACAAGGACAACACAGUAACUUUAAAAGGUAUUUCUCAGGCUUAAAGUUUAAAAGUCUUUGGAGUUCCUGUCGUGGCACAGUGAUUAACGAAUCCAACUAGGAACCAUGAGGUUUUGGGUUCCAUCCCUGGCCUCGCUCAGUGGGUUAAGGAUGUGGUGUUGCCGUGAGCUUCGGUGUAGGUCACAGAGGUGGCUCAGAUCCUGCAUAGCUGUGGCUGUGGUGUAGGCCAGCAACUGCAGCUCCAGACUGACUCCUAGCCUGGGGACCUCCAUAUGCCAGGGGUGCAGACCUGAAAAAAAAAGAACAGAACUGCAACCCUAAAUCAAUAUAGACAAAACAAAGACAUUGAAAAAUAAAGAUGUUAUUUAGCUAGAUCAUUUGAAUCUCUAAGGUAAAAUGCAGUUGGAGAUGAAGAAGAAUAAAAUGAAUAAAUGCAUGAAUGGCUGGGGAAUGAAAAAAUGCAGUUGACUUAAGAGUAAAUUCAGGCUCAGAUCCCCAGGCAGCAAGUUCUGCACAUCAGUCAAGUUAGAAAUGCCUCCUCUGAAGGCAGGAAAGAAUCGUCACUUCCAUUCUACAGAUGGAUAUACAAGUUUUCUUUUGUGGGGAUAGUCAUUAGACGAGAGAACGAAACAGUGCUUAGACUUAGCCGAGUCACUGAAAGGCCGGAAAGUCACAGCAUAAGAGAUGGAUGGAUGCCUGAGACAGACCAAGUGGGAGAACAGAGAGUCUGCAGCUCUUGGGAUCACAGUGUUCGCUGUUCGAAAGUACAUCAAAGGGAGAGACUGGAAGAUUCUGUCUGCGGGUUAGUUAAGAGCCAGGAUGUCUCUUGGGGUUUUGUCUUUUUCAAAGAUUGAUAGAAAGUCUCUCACAGUGUGUCUCCAAUCACAUUGUGGGUUCACUACAAUGAGACAAAUAUUUCUUAAGUUGUGUUCCCUGCAGUGGAGGCAGUGACUUAGGCAUCUAUUAGCUGGAAAAGAAAGUGAGUUCUUACUGAUGCUAAAAGCCAUCUGGCACACUGUCUCAGCAUGCUACAUAAAUAAAAGUUAUUUCCAACAACAUUGAUAGCAUCGCAAGCUUAGUUUUUGUCUAAAAACACAUAGCACUUUAAGUUAGGAUGGUUUUUUAAAGGUUAAAUUAAAAACAGGAAUUUCCUUUAUUUCUCAAUCAAUACAAACAUUUUAUAUAUUCAAGACAUCAACAAAUUGAGAGUCAAACUUAACCUACUUACUAGUUAAUUUAUUAAAAUUAAAAUUAAUUUUAAAGAAUGUGUUUUCUUUCUGGCUGCACAGCACACAGAAGUUCCCAGGCCAGGGCUCAAACUCAUGCCAUAGCAGCAACCCAAGCCACAGCAGUGGCAGCGCCAGAUCAUUCACCUGCUGUACCACCAGGGAACUCCUACAUUAAUUUUUAAGCAGGGGUUUUUGUUUUUGUUUUUUUGUUUUUUAGGGCCACACCUGUGGCAUAUGGAGAUUCCCAGGCUAGGGGUAGAAUCGGAGCUACAGCUGCUGGCCACAGCCACAGCAACGCCAGAUCCCAGCCGCAUCUGUGAUCUACACCAACAGCUCACGGUAACACCAGCUCCUUAACCCACCAAGCAAGGCCAGGUAUCGAAUCCGCAACCUCUUGGUUCCUAGUCGGAUUUGUUACUGUUGCACCACGACAGGAACUCCUAAGCAGGGUUUUCUAGUAUCAUAAUUGCACACUGCCCUCAGCAUCUUUCUAACAAAGACUUUAAAGAAAUCCUAUUUAAUGUUCGUUUGUCUUCCUUCACUAAUACAUUUUCAUUUUCAUCAGUUAUGCAUUGCGGAUAAGAGAAAGAAAAGAAGAAAGGAAAGGAGGGAGGAAAGGUUCUUAGCUUCCAGAAGUUAACAGCCUAACAGGGAGCUAGAAAAAGUAUAAAUGGCCCAUCCAGAAAGCAAUUAUUCUCUCACUAGCUGAGCUUUACACACACACACACACACACACACACACACACACACACAACUUGUUUGCUGUGGCAGAAAACAUCUUGGCAAAUAGAUGAGCAUCAUUGUGUCUCAGAUUUCUCUCUGUGUAAUGAAGUCAGAUUAGAUAAUUGCUGAGUCUUUAUAGCGCUAACAUCCUUUACGUCAUUCAACAUUUAUUGAGCAUUUAUUGUGUGAGAAAUGAGAAGCAUUUUGCUAGGAGAAGCAGGAUGGACAGUCUGAAUAAAACUCAUUUGGCUUUAAAGUGAUUGCAAUUUAAUGGAUUUAAUGGUCAAAUGCAAACACCUACUCGCACUGGAAGACGCAUGAAUAAAAGGUGCUGGGGACACGAGAGGAAGGAAGACUUGAUGCAAACACAGGACAGAGGGGGACGGAAUAAUAGGGGACCAAACAAAGCAGUUUAAGGACAGCAAACGUGAGGCUACCCUGGUAUGAAGGGCACAGGCUGUUAAAGGAAAGAGCAAGAAAGGCAGGGAGAGGACUUCCCUGGUGGCUCAGUGGAUUAAGGACCCAGCGUUGUCACUGCUGUAACUUGGGCUGCAGCUGUGGCUCAGGUUUGAUCCCUGGCCCAGAAACUUCUGCUUUCCAUGGGCAUAGCCAAAACAAAACAAAACAAAACCAACCAAACAAGAAACAACAACAAAAAAGGAGAGAGCCUCAGAAAGAACUGGCUGUUUUAUUUUAUUUUAUUCUUUUUUGGCCAUGCCCAUGGCAUGUAGAAGUUCCCAGGCCAGGGAUUUAACCUGUGCCACAGCAGCAACCAGAGCCACAGCAGUGACAAUGCCAGAUCAUUAUCCCACUAAGCCACAAGGGAAUUCUCAGAACUGGCUAUUUUAAAGGGUCAAUAGUAGGCCGAUCUAGCUUGGUUCUUGGAAGGAGAUGAAAAAGAUGACUUUGGGAUGAACUCAUUCAACCAGCUCAAGGUUUUAGGAAACUUCCCAAAAGUAAAUUUCACAUUGAACUCAGAAACCAUGGCUCAUCAGCUCAUAAAAUAAUCUUUGUUUCAGUGCAGAAGAAAUGGGCCAAGAGAGAGUGUAUGGCUGAUGUUGGUACAUUGAAACCAAGGAUCACUAAGAAAGCCAGAAGGUUGGAAACUGCUCCAUGUGGACAGAUGGAAAUAGAAAAUCCAGAGGUGAGGAAAUGCCAUCAUGGUCAUCCAGACAAUCUAAGUAUGUUCCAAAUGAGUCAUUUCCUCAUCUAUGGACUGUUUCUAUCUCCAAGGCAUCUCACAAUGCAGUAAGGCAGUACAUUUCAUCUUGAGAUGGCAGGUUGAUGGGCAGCUUUGGAUGAUUCUCUUGAGAGGAAGAGUUAUGAAGAGGACUCAGGGAUUAGCUCAUAUCAUGGAGGCUAGAAGAACCCAGCGAAAGAAUCCAUUCUAAAAUCUGAGUGGUGUCAGCCAGCAAGAAGUCAGGGCACGUGUGUUUGAGGUUAACCUCUGAUGUGCCCUAGCAGACCCACCUGCUUAUAGAUAAAGAAUGGAAAGUUGGGGCUGGGAUGGGGCAGUGAGCCAAGUCUUGGUAGGGAAGGCUGUGAUU
rnacentral:lncRNA from 1 species